UAUAGGUUACUAUGAGGUAUGUGGUUUAGGGUCUAGGGUUAUAGGGUCAAUAUUUAGAAUUAAGUAUAUGGUUUGAGUUUUAGAAAAUACUUAGCUUAAGUUUGAAAUUUAUAUUAAAAGUUUGAAAGUAUUAGAUUUAUGACUUUGUAUGUAGUGUUUAAGUUUAGGGUUUAUGCAUUAUAUUUAGGGUGUAAAUUUAAGAUUUAAUGUUUGAUGUUUAGAAUUUAAAUUUGAAAUUAUAUUUUUUAAAUCACUAAGUUUAGAUUGAAGUUCUAUUACGAGUAGAUUAAAGUUUAAAAAUGGAGAAAUUACAUGUUUACCACUUUCAUGCUACAAUUUUUCAUUUUUACCACCACUAAAGAGACAUUUUCAAAAAUACAUGGGAAAUUGCCAAAAAUACUAUUUUCAAGGUACCACUUUUCAUGGUUUAGGGUUUAGAGUUGAUGUUUUAGGGUUUAGAGUUGAAGGUUUAGGGUUUAGGAUCUAGAGUUGAUGUUUCGGGGUUUAGAGAUUAGAGUUGAUGUUUCAGGGUUUAGGGUUUAUUUCAAAAAAAAAAAUAGGGUUUAGGAUUGAUGGUUUAGGGUUUAGGGUUCGUAUUUCAAAAAAAUAGGGUUUAGGAUUGAUUGUUUAGGGUUUAGAGUUGAGUUUUAGGGUUUAGGGUUUGAAUUUCGAAAUAGUAUAAUUCAGAAAAAUAUUAAAAAAUUAUUUUUUUAUUCUUUUAAAUUUUUA
rnacentral:lncRNA from 1 species